GACGAACGCUGGCGGCGUGCUUAACACAUGCAAGUCGAACGGAAAGGCCCUGCUUUUGUGGGGUGCUCGAGUGGCGAACGGGUGAGUAACACGUGAGUAACCUGCCCUUGACUUUGGGAUAACUUCAGGAAACUGGGGCUAAUACCGGAUAGGAGCUCCUGCUGCAUGGUGGGGGUUGGAAAGUUUCGGCGGUUGGGGAUGGACUCGCGGCUUAUCAGCUUGUUGGUGGGGUAGUGGCUUACCAAGGCUUUGACGGGUAGCCGGCCUGAGAGGGUGACCGGCCACAUUGGGACUGAGAUACGGCCCAGACUCCUACGGGAGGCAGCGGUGGGGAAUAUUGCACAAUGGGCGGAAGCCUAAUGCAGCAACGCCGCGUGCGGGAUGACGGCCUUCGGGUUGUAAACCGCUUUCGCCUGUGACGAAGCGUGAGUGACGGUAAUGGGUAAAGAAGCACCGGCUAACUACGUG
rnacentral:rRNA from 1 species